GGAAAAAAUUGUUGCUUUGCAAAAUCUUGGAUGAAAUUUGUCCCCUGGGCUGGGAAUUUCAGAGAUCACGACAUAAUUUAUGCAUGCAACCUUGACAACAAGCGUCCCACGAGACCCAUCUAAAAUAAGUACCGUCAGAAAUUACAAUAAAUUUGCCUGUGUGCCUUUUCAAAUAUGCGAGGUCUUUGACGACCCAGCUGACGUUUACUAUAUGCAUGGAAUUCUCUCUCUACAGAGAUAUGCAAUGAACACGCGCUGCUCAAACAAAUAGAAGUACGUAGUAAUCCUGCCUUGGAUAACAAAGAUACAACUAUGAACGAAAGCUCUAUAUAAGGCACUUAAAAAGAAACGAGACUUGAAUGACCCGAUACUGUGGGAUGACUACAUGCAGAAGGCUCAGAAAGAAAGUAUUAACAAUGAUGAAAAAUGCUGUUACAAACAAACUGUUACAUAAACAUUUCUGUAGUGUACAUGCAGUUGCCUAUUUAUUGGCCCAGCAGAC